GAGAAGAAAAGUGCGAUAGAAGCCCAGCCCCGGAGGAUCUCCUCCAAGAUUAAAGCUAGUCCUAAGAGCAACCGAAUUGCUGUGACUGACUUUCACGGGACUGUAACGAGAGGAGAUGGUUUCCUCAGUGUGUGGCAAGUGUUUCUUCAAGAAAUUCAUCAGCGCUUCUACAAUUACUUCGAGCUCCGAGGGAAGAGAGCUGCCAUCACUUUCUCACAUCCCAAGGUGUUGCAUGGAGGAGAGAAGAAAAGGCUGGAGCAUUAAUUAUAAUGGGGGUGGGGGUGGGGAGGAAGAAAGAGAGGCUGAAGAAAGCCGUCCGAAGCCUGUACCUGGAAAAGAAAAACUGCAAGCGUAUAUUUGGGAGACAUGUGCCAUUUAGAGAUGGGGAAAAGUACCCCAUCUUGUGCAGUAAUUAGUCUGAACAAUAAACAUAAUUGGAAUAAAAUCAGUUGGAAAUUCCUGCGUUUUUAAUUACGUUUCAUUUUGUGGUAAGCCGUAAAAUUAUGAAUGCCUCUCAAUUAAACACUAUCCACUUGUAAAGCAUUUAACAACAAUUAUUCCUUAAUCAGUUGGAAUGUUAGCCACAAAUGAUGCUGUUAAACAUCAAAGGGACGCCUUAGACGUUACCUUUUAGUCAUAAGAGGAUUAAUUUCUGUAAUUAGAGGGGAUAAAUAU